GUUACUACGUGGGACUUCACCACCAUUGUUCCUUGGAUUCAAAGGUAGAAUGGGUGACUCACCAGCCUCAUCUCAGCCUGUUCAGAAUGCGGCAUGUUUGGGAGCAACCCUACUCAUAGUUGGUUGUGUUUCAUUUUUGGGCUUUUUCUACACAGCUAUCUUGUCCAAGCUACAUCCACCUCCUGCAAACCAAUUUAUAUCUGCCAUCCAAACGGACAGGUACUACUGUUUGUUGGUGCCUUCAACACUUGCCAUUCUGGUGGUAGCAGUGUACUUUCACUGGCUCAGCAUGAAGCUCUUUAAGCAUGCUUGAAGAUAUGCAUGCAUGUAAAUUCCGUCCCCACAUGUAGAAUACUCCUGUAUUUUAAAUAUGAUAUCCAAAUUUUGCA